rnacentral:misc_RNA from 1 species
GAUGAAGAACGUAGCGAAAUGCGAUAAGUAAUGUGAAUUGCAGAAUUCAGUGAAACAUCGAAUCUUUGAACGCACAUUGCGCCCCUUGGUAUUCCGAGGGGCAUGCCUGUUCGAGCGUCAUUUCAACCCUCGACCUCCCCUUGGGGAGGUCGGCGUUGGGGACCGGCAGCACACCGCCGGCCCUGAAAUGGAGUGGCGGCCCGUCUGCGGCGACCUCUGCGUAGUAAUACAGCUCGCACCGGAACCCCGACGCGGCCACGCCGUAAAACACCCAACUUCUGAACGUUGACCUCGAAUCAGGUAGGACUACCCGCUGAACUUAAGCAUAUCAAUAAGCGGAGGA